GACUCAAAGAAAUUCUUACCUCUCAGACAGGACCACUUGGCAAUCUGGUCUCCUUUAGAACUUUCUUUAGAACUCUGAUGUUCUCAUUUUAUUCAGCUGAAUUCUGAGACCUAAUUCAGGCUUCCAACAAAGAACAGCUGUUCUUGGGACCAGAUUACUGCCCACAGUUUCUGCUGAAUGAAAAACCUCUUGAGUCAAAAGCACAGAGAGCAAAAGCUGGGCUAGUGUUAGCUGGGCUGCAACAGGCAACAGCAAGAAGCAGAGAUGCUAACUUGAAAAACACUCAAUUACAGGUAUGAUUUUUUUUUCUUCUUGAAAUAUAGUUUGAUCAUCCUGAGACAUCCUGGGAGUUCUGAUCUAUAUAACCUCUGGGGAGCUGCUAUUUAGCUUCUAAUUAAUUGGAUUGUUGUAGUCUUAUUGGAAUAGCUUACUGAAUUUACACAUACACAGUUUCUCCUGUGCAUUUGUGCACUGGACAAAAACUGUUAAAUGUUACUAAAGACUCUCUAGCAAUAAAUGCUAUCACCUUCUCAGGGGACAGGCUUUUAGUGCUUUCACCCAGUUUUCCAAAAUCUUGCAGCUGGCUGUCAUGUUAUGAGUUGUUUCACCAGAGCCAACAGGCGGAUAGCAAAGCACAUGUAAAAACAGGUGAACAUAGAGGUCAACUUGAAUAUCUAAAACCAACCAAGCAAAAGCACACAAAGAGAAGAAA